CGUCAACGUGAAGAUGUAAAACUCCGAUGGAGUGAGGAAGAAGCGUGGAUGAUGGCGAGAAAGGAGGUGGAGCUCGAAGCAAGUGGUAAUUUAAGAUUUCCUAAUAAGAAGCUAGCGGAAGUAUUUACUCACCGUAGCUCCGAAGCAAUUAAAUGUUUUCGGAAAAGGGGUGAAUAUAAGGCAAAACUGGAGCAGAUAAGAGGGCAAUCUACUCCCACCCCAGAAGCGUUGGACUCAAUUACCUCACAGCGUCGACCUAGUUUACUCGAGCGAAACCACCAAGUAUCAUCGUCGGAAGCGCAACCAAUCAAUCCAUCAGAAUAACAGUCGAACUGGGAAAUCAUGGGGAUACUACAGGGCUAUCGCCCCGUAGAAUGUAGUCCCCGGUGGAGAGCCCAGGUCUUGUAAACUAUCGUAGAUAGGGCGCAGACCGUAGGGAAGGAAACCACUCUCCAAUGCUUAUCCAACUAUCUCCUGGAAGUAUUUCCAUUACCAAACGAACCACACACCAUCGGUCGAAACAAUUUGCGAAGACCUCGAACUAGGAGACAGUUAAGACAACAAGAAUACGCACAGGUUCAGCGUCGUUGGGAUAAGAAUACUGGGAGAUGCAUUAAAUCCUUGCUUGAUGGAACAGAUGAGUCGGUUAUGCCAAACCAAGAGAUAAUGGAACCCUAUUGGAAACAAGUAAUGACGAAUCCCAGCACAUGCUCUUGCAUAACACAAGAUUCCCUAUGGAACAUUCGCUUGAGACGGUUUGGUCAGCGAUAACGCCACGCGACCUGCGGGAAAAUAAAUUAAAGUUGUCAAGUGCUCCGGGUCCUGACGGUAUCACUCCAAGAACAGCCAGGACCCUUAGGCAUUAUGCUACGCAUAAUGAACCUGAUUCUCUGGUGCGGCAAAAUACCAUUCUCUACCCGACUGGCCAGAACUAUCUUCAUUCCGAAGACUGUGACGGCAAAUCGACCGCAAGACUUUCGUCCAAUAACAGUCCCCUCGGUUUUGGUCAGGCAAUUAAACGCUGUUCUGGCUUCUCGAUUGGCUUCUAAAGUCAACUGGGAUCCAAAGCAGCGCGGUUUCCUACCUACCGAUGGGUAUGCUGAUAAUGCGACUUUGGUUGAUCUCAUUUUGCGGGAGCACCAUAAACGGUGGAAGUCAUGUUACCUUGCGACGGUGGAUGUCAGCAAGGCUUUUGACUCAGUAUCACACCAGGCCAUUAUCAAGACUUUACAGGCCUAUGGUGCUCCAACAAACUUUGUAAGCUUUAUAGAAGAACAGUAUAAAGGCGGUGAUAAUACCGUGCGCGGGGCGUUAAGCAAGGUAACCCUCUGUCUCCACUAUUAUUUAAUCUUAUCAUUGAUAGAUUACUUAGGUCCUACGCCAGAAAGAUUGGUGCCAAAGUCGGAAAUACCAUGACAAGCGCGGCAGCGUUCGCGGAUGAUCUGGUGCUAUUUGCGGAAACUCCGAUGGGGCUUCAAACAUUGUUGGAUACCACGGUAGGCUUCCUAGCCUCCGUGGGACUCUCCCUUAAUGCUGAUAAGUGCUUCACUGUCAGUAUAAAGGGGCAAGCCAAGAAGAAGUGUACUGUCGUAGAACGACAGAGCUUUUGUGUAAAGGAGCGCGAGUGUCCUUCAUUGAAGCGUACUGAAGAGUGAAAGUAGGUAUCCGGUUCACUGCGGAUGGGCGGGCUCGGUAUAGUCCAGCAGACGACCUCGGUCCGAAGCUGUUAAGAUUAACAAGAGCCCCUCUGAAACCACAACAGAAGUUAUUUGCACUUAGGACUGUCCUUAUCCCACAACUCUAUCACCAACUAACACUUGGGAGUGUGAUGAUAGGUUAAAUCGAGUUUCAUUCCGUUACACUCAACUGGAGAGGAAUCUGGAGUGGUCAGUCGGUAAAACGAUUGAUUGCAAAAGAUCUCCUCAUCGCUGAAGAUACCAAACUCAUCAGCGUCAGAGCAGUAAAUGGCGGAGUGACGUCUUUUAAAUAUUUCAUGUAUUGUGCUGGGUAUACUCGAAGCUAGAUGUACUAACCUCUAGUUUCUCUAUACUUUUGCCUGCUACCUUGGCAUUACAUCUAAAAAGGUACAAAUAUCUCAUUGUCAAAAAGAGGUGGUUUUAGUACGUAGGCGCUGUGGGACUUCAUUGUCCCGAUGAUGCAGCGAAUCGUGCAUACGAGAUUGUCCAGUAGUUGGUUGCUCGUAUCUUUAGAAGAUUUCCUUCCUCGGCGAUCAAAAAAAAAAAAAAAAUAGUUAAAUGCCUCGUCAUCUAAUUAGUGACGCGCAUGAAUGGAUUAACGAGAUUCCUUCUGUCCCUAUCUAGUAUCUAGCGAAACCACAGCCAAGGGAACGGGCUUGGAAUAAUUAGCGGGGAAAGAAGAACCUUUUGAGCUUGGUUUUUGAUUGCAAGCUUCUUGAUCAAAGUAUCACGAGUUUGUUAUAUAAUCGCAAACAAAUUCUUUAAUGAGAGAGUGCGUUUAUGUAUUUUUAAUUUGAAAUAUUUGGUAUAACUCCAAUUACUCAGGUAUGAUCCAAUUCAAGGACAUUGCUAGGUAGGGAGUUUGACUGGGGCGGUACAUCUCUCAAAUAAUAACGGAGGUGUCCCAAGGCCAGCUCAGUGCGGACAGAAACCACACAUAGAGCAAAAGGGCAAAUGCUGACUUGAUCUCGGUGUUCAGUAUACACAGGGACAGCAAAAGCUCGGUUUAAAGAGUUUUUAGAAAGAGGUGUCAGAAAAGUUACCAUAGGGAUAACUGGCUUGUGGCGGCCAAGCGUUCAUAGCGACGUCGCUUUUUGAUCCUUCGAUGUCGGCUCUUCCUAUCAUUGUGAAGCAAAAUUCACCAAGCGUUGGAUUGUUCACCCAUGCAAGGGAACGUGAGCUGGGUUUAGACCGUCGUGAGACAGGUUAGUUUUACCCUACUAAUGACAAAACGUUGUUGCGACAGCAUUCCUGCGUAGUACGAGAGGAACCGCAGGUACGGACCAAUAACAACGGCACAAUACUUGUUCGAGCGAACAGUGGUAUGACGCUACGUCCGUUGGAUUAUGCCUGAACGCCUCUAAGGUCGUAUCCGUGCUGGACUGCAAUGAUAAAUAAGGGGCAAUUUGCAUUGUAUGGCUUCUAAACCAUUAAAAGUUUAUUUUAUAAACGACAAUGGAUGUGAUGCCAAUGUUAUUUGUAACAUAGUAAAUUGGGAGGAUCUUCGAUCACCUGAUGCCGCGCUAGUUACUUAUUAAAACAUUAUUUAAUACAAUGACAAAGCC
rnacentral:rRNA from 1 species